CAGCAGCCGCGGGAAAACGAAGGGGGCUAGCGUUGUUCGGAAUUACUGGGCGUAAAGCGCACGUAGGCGAAUAUUUAAGUCAGGGGUGAAAUCCCGCAGCUCAACUGCGGAACUGCCUUUGAUACUGGGUAUCUUGAGUAUGGAAGAGGUUAGUGGAAUUGCGAGUGUAGAGGUGAAAUUCGUAGAUAUUCGCAGGAACACCAGUGGCGAAGGCGGCUAACUGGUCCAUAACUGACGCUGAGGUGCGAAAGCGUGGGGAGCAAACAGGAUUAGAUACCCCUGUAGUCCCUGUCUCUUAUAA
rnacentral:rRNA from 1 species